rnacentral:lncRNA from 1 species
CAGACAUAUUAACUAGCGCACAGAAAGCCCCAGAUCCAGCCAUGGAAAUAUUUGUUUAAUGCUUGAAAAGAACAGGAGAGACAUGCAGAUUAACAUCUGAUCAUCCCUUUCCCUUUUGAACAACCAUGCUGAAUACAGUGAGGGCAGAGGCAAAGCACAAAACAGCAUCAGGCAUUUCUUCUGGGUGACUGGACUAAAUCCCCAUCCUGACAGUGAUCUUAAAGUAGAGCGUGCUGAUGGGAGUGACGGCAGUGAUAAGACGAAGACACCACAAACAGAGAUGAGAAGGUUUUGCUUCUAAGUGAGGAUGACAAUGAUUUUGGUUCUGAUGCAACAAGAGAGUCAUCCCUAAAAUAACAGUUGGUGAAAUAGCAGAUAUGCACAUCAAUCUCUGAGUUAUAUUGAAACGAGAUGUGGAUAUUGAGAUCUCAGAUAAGGGUAACACUAUGGAUACCAGCUAACAAGUAAACCAUAAAUUUCCUGUUAAAAUAUUUGGUGGGUGCACUGUCUAUCUUUAACCAGCACAAAUACUGUUCCUUUAAUGUUGUUCCAGACUCACAGCAUCUGACAAAAUAAACAACUGCCCAGGACUUCUCA